UGUUUGGGCAAAUAGGGCGCGUUCCAGGCUCCUUACGUCCAUAAGCUCUUUGUUCCGCGUCCCUGAAUGAAUACAAAACCGUUCCGUAGGUGAACCUGCGGAAGGAUCAUU
rnacentral:rRNA from 1 species